rnacentral:rRNA from 1 species
GAUGAACGCUGGCGGCGUGCUUAAUACAUGCAAGUCGAACGAAGGGUUAGCAAUAACUCUUAGUGGCGAACGGGUGAGUAACGCGUUGGUGACCUGCCUCGAAGCGAGGGAUAACAGUUCGAAAGGACUGCUAAUACCCCAUGCGGUCUUAGAGGUUAGAGUCUUUAAGACGAAAGGAGUAAUCCACUUCGGGAGGGGCCUGCGUCCGAUCAGCGAGUUGGUAGGGUAAUGGCCUACCAAGGGGACGACGGGUAGGGGACCUGAGAGGGUGGCCCCCCACACUGGCACGGAAACACGGGCAAGACACCUACGGGUGGCAGCAGUAGGGAAUAUUGCACAAUGGGCGAAAGCCUGAUGCAGCAACGCCGCGUGCGCGAAGAAGGCCUUCGGGUCGUAAAGCGCUUUUCGGGGAGAUGAGAAAGGACAGUAUCCCCGGAAUAAGGCUCGGCUAACUACGUGCCAGCCGCCGCGGUAACAC